rnacentral:rRNA from 1 species
UCCUGGCUAUAAAUUAAAUUAAAUUUACCAGAGUACUAUGAAUACUAUAAAAUUUAAAACUCAAAGGACUUGGCGGUGUUUUAGACCACUCAGGGGAACCUGUCCCGUAAUCGAUAAUCCACGUUACACCUAACCCACUUUUGCUUUCAGCUUGUAUACCGUUGUCGUCAGGUAACUUUUUAGAAUUCAGAAGUUAGCUAAAAAUAAUAAGUUUAAACGUCAAAUCAAGGUGCAGCUAACAAGGGGGCGAGGAUGGGUUACAAUUAUCUAAUUAUAACUACGAAAAAUCAUAAGAAUAAACGAUUAAGAAGGAGGACUUGAAAGUAAAUUAAAUUAUAGAAAUAACUUGAAUAAGGCUCUGAAAUGCGCACACAUCGCCCGUCGCUCUUGUUGGAAAAUAAGAUAAGUCGUAACAUAGUAGGGGUAAUGGAAAUUGUCCCUAAACU